rnacentral:rRNA from 1 species
CCACGCAGUAAACGAUGAUCACUAGCUGUUUGCGAUACACUGUAAGCGGCACAGCGAAAGCGUUAAGUGAUCCACCUGGGGAGUACGCCGGCAACGGUGAAACUCAAAGGAAUUGACGGGGGCCCGCACAAGCGGAGGAACAUGUGGUUUAAUUCGAUGAUACGCGAGGAACCUUACCCGGGUUUGAACGCAUUCGGACCGAGGUGGAAACACCUUUUCUAGCAAUAGCCGUUUGCGAGGUGCUGCAUGGUUGU